rnacentral:rRNA from 1 species
GUGCUUGCACUAUCACUUAGCGGCGGACGGGUGAGUAAUGCUUAGGAAUCUGCCUAUUAGUGGGGGACAACAUUUCGAAAGGAAUGCUAAUACCGCAUACGUCCUACGGGAGAAAGCAGGGGAUCUUCGGACCUUGCGCUAAUAGAUGAGCCUAAGUCGGAUUAGCUAGUUGGUGGGGUAAAGGCCUACCAAGGCGACGAUCUGUAGCGGGUCUGAGAGGAUGAUCCGCCACACUGGGACUGAGACACGGCCCAGACUCCUACGGGAGGCAGCAGUGGGGAAUAUUGGACAAUGGGCGCAAGCCUGAUCCAGCCAUGCCGCGUGUGUGAAGAAGGCCUUAUGGUUGUAAAGCACUUUAAGCGAGGAGGAGGCUACUUUAGAUAAUACCUAGAGAUAGUGGACGUUACUCGCAGAAUAAGCACCGGCUAACUCUGUGCCAGCAGCCGCGGUAAUACAGAGGGUGCAAGCGUUAAUCGGAUUUACUGGGCGUAAAGCGCGCGUAGGCGGCUAAUUAAGUCAAAUGUGAAAUCCCCGAGCUUAACUUGGGAAUUGCAUUCGAUACUGGUUAGCUAGAGUGUGGGAGAGGAUGGUAGAAUUCCAGGUGUAGCGGUGAAAUGCGUAGAGAUCUGGAGGAAUACCGAUGGCGAAGGCAGCCAUCUGGCCUAACACUGACGCUGAGGUGCGAAAGCAUGGGGAGCAAACAGGAUUAGAUACCCUGGUAGUCCAUGCCGUAAACGAUGUCUACUAGCCGUUGGGGCCUUUGAGGCUUUAGUGGCGCAGCUAACGCGAUAAGUAGACCGCCUGGGGAGUACGGUCGCAAGACUAAAACUCAAAUGAAUUGACGGGGGCCCGCACAAGCGGUGGAGCAUGUGGUUUAAUUCGAUGCAACGCGAAGAACCUUACCUGGCCUUGACAUAGUAAGAACUUUCCAGAGAUGGAUUGGUGCCUUCGGGAACUUACAUACAGGUGCUGCAUGGCUGUCGUCAGCUCGUGUCGUGAGAUGUUGGGUUAAGUCCCGCAACGAGCGCAACCCUUUUCCUUAUUUGCCAGCGAGUAAUGUCGGGAACUUUAAGGAUACUGCCAGUGACAAACUGGAGGAAGGCGGGGACGACGUCAAGUCAUCAUGGCCCUUACGGCCAGGGCUA